GGCCUCCUGUUUAUCGAGGACGCGUCGUCUGAUGCAGCGGGUUGCGUCAAGGCUGGUGGCCCAUCGAAGUUGAUGACAGGCUGAGCCGCUUGGAAUUGCCUUUUUUUGGACAAUUUAGGGUUAGGGUUAGAGAAAGGGACUUUGCCCAUGAAUUUAGCACCGCCUCUCGGCUGUGACUGCGUCCAAUUCGGUUCGUUACGAUUAGCUAAGACUGCAGACGCCAUGAAGAGUCCGGUAGAAUUCCGGCAGUUCUCUGGCGAGGACUUCCCAAUUUGGAUGAACAAGAAAUCAUGAAUCGUAUAGAGCGUGCCCCCCACGCGCAACCUCUAUUAACACACGCGCCACUGAAAUAUUGAUCUGCGAACUCAAAAAAUUUCAAGGAAGAAAAAUAUAACGACUAGAGAGAUAUGCGCUAAGGGUUAGGGUUUGGGGAUUUCCC
rnacentral:misc_RNA from 1 species